rnacentral:hammerhead_ribozyme from 1 species
UUACUGCUGAAGAAUCCCAAACUAGGACGCAACGGUCGUCCAGUAA